GGCUGUAUAGCCUAACAUCAAGGCAUUUGAAUUGCAAUCAGAUCAUGUAUUUUUUAUACU
rnacentral:tRNA from 1 species